UACCGCAAUGAAUUUUUAAGUCUAUUGUAUAUCCUUUUUGUGUUGUAGUUUAAGCACAGUUACAGUCUCAAGGUGUUUAAUAAUUCAUCUGUCAUCUGCUGUACACAUCUGUACUGUAGUGAGGGCAGUGCGGUUAUGUUGUGGGGUUCAUAUCGAUGGUCUAUGACGUCCAUAAUGCUUUAGUGUGAAGCAGUCACAAAGAUCUUCUCUCUCAAUAAACAGCUAAAGUUCAAAAGGCAAUUGAAGUGAUGGAUGAGUUGUGUUUGUGUCCAGGUCUCCAGUCUACUAUGGAUGAGGAGAGAGAAGAGGGGGGUCCUACCUCUAAGACCACUCUGUCUGGGGAACAUGGCCGCCGGAGCAAAGCUAAGAGAAGAGUCCAGCAGGAGAGAGCAGACUCCCCUGGACCCAGCUGUGUCUCCAUGAAGAGUGACUGGUCUAUGGAUAUACCAUUGGUGUUUAAAGAUGGACGUUCCUCCAGCGAGGAGAG
ensembl:lncRNA